CUCCUGGCACCAUGGACGAUGCCACGGUCCUAAGGAAGAAGGGUUACAUCGUGGGCAUCGAUCUUGGCAAAGGCUCCUACGCAAAAGUCAAAUCCGCCUACUCUGAGCGCCUCAAGUUCAACGUGGCAGUCAGGAUCAUCGACCGCAAGAAAACGCCCACUGACUUUGUAGAGAGAUUCCUUCCGCGGGAGAUGGACAUCCUGGCAACCGUCAACCACCGCUCGAUCAUCAAGACCUACGAGAUCUUCGAGACAUCUGACGGGCGGAUCUACAUCGUCAUGGAGCUUGGCGUCCAGGGCGACCUCCUCGAGUUCAUCAAAACCCGGGAGCCCUGCACAAGGACGUGGCACGCAAGAUGUUCCGCCAGCUCUCCUUGGCCGUCAAGUGCUGCCACGACAUGGAUGUCGUCCACCGCGACCUCAAGUGCCAGAACGUUCUCCUCGACAAGGACUUCAACAUCAAGCUGUCCGACUUCGGCUUCUCCAAACGCUGCCUGCGGGACGGCAGCGGCCGCAUCAUCCUCAGCAAGACCUUCUGCGGGUCGCCGGCGUACGUGGCCCCCCGAGGUGCUGCAGGGCAUCCCCUACCAGCCCAAGGCGUACGACAUCUGGGGCCUGGGCGUGAUCCUCUACAUAAUGGUCUGUGGCUCCAUGCCCUACGGUGACUCCGACAUCAGGAAGAUGCUGCGCAUCCAGAAGGAGCGCCGCGUCCACUUCCCGCGCUCCAAGAACCCGACGGGCGAGUGCAAGGACCUCAUCGAACGCAUGCUCCAGCCCGACGUCGACCUGCGGCUGCACAUUGACGAGAUCCUCAGCCACUCGUGGCUGCAGCCCCCCGAGCCCAAGGCCAUGUCUUCUGCCUCCUUCAAGAGGCAGGAGGAGGGCAAGUACCAGGCCGAGUACAAGCUGGACACCCGGCCGAAAACGCCCACUGACUUUGUAGAGAGAUUCCUUCCGCGGGGGAUGGACAUCCUGGCAACCGUCAACCACCGCUCGAUCAUCAAGACCUACGAGAUCUUCGAGACAUCUGACGGGCGGCUCUACAUCGUCAUGGAGCUUGGGGCCCAGGGUGACCUCCUCGAGUUCAUCAAAACCCGGGGAGCCCUGCACAAGGAUGUGGCGCGCAAGAUGUUCCGCCAGUUCUCCUCGGCCGUAAAGUGCUGCCACGACAUGGAUGUCGUCCACCGCGACCUGAAGUGCGAGAGUGUUCUCCUCGACAAGGACUUCAACAUCAAGCUGUCCGAUUUCGGCUUCUCCAAACGCUGCCUGCGGGACGACAGCGGCCGCAUCAUCCUGAGCAAGACCUUCUGCGGGUCGCCGGCGUACGUGGCCCCCGAGGUGCUGCAGGGCAUCCCCUACUAGCCCAAGGCGUACGACAUCUGGAGCCUGGGCGUGAUCCUCUACCUAAUGGUCUGUGGCUCCAUGCCCUACGGUGACUCCAACAUCAAGAAGAUGCUGCACAUCCAGAAGGAGCGCCGCGUCCACUUCCCGCGCUCCAAGAACCUGACGGGCCUGCAAGGACCUCAUCGAAUGCAUGCUCCAGCCCGAUGUCGACCUGCGGCUGCACAUUGACGAGGUCCUCAGCUACUCGUGGCUGCAGCCCCCCCCGAGCCCAAGGCCAUGUCUUCUGCCUCCUUCAAGAGGCAGGAGGAGGGCAAGUACCGGGCCGAGUACAAGCUGGACACCCGGCCGGGCUCGAGGCCCGACCACCGGCCUGAGCACAAGCUGGGGGCCGAAACCCAGCACCGACUGCUGGUGGUGCCGGAGAACGAGGACAGGAUGGGGGACCGGCUGGCCGAGACCUCCAGGGCCAAAGACCAUCACGUCUCCGGAGCUGAGGUGGGAAAGCGAGCCCCCAGCAGUAAUGAGGGCCAGGGGCAGCGGCGCGAGGUUUGCACCCCUGUAAACUCUAAGUAG